UGCAAAAUGAAGAGAACCUGCCUGCC
rnacentral:piRNA from 1 species